rnacentral:misc_RNA from 1 species
GGACUACUAGGGUUUCUAAUCCCGUUUGCUCCCCUAGCUUUCGCGCCUCAGCGUCAAGAGUGGGCCAGGUAGUCGCCUUCGCCACUGGUGUUCCUCCCGAUAUCUACGCAUUUCACCACUACACCGGGAAUUCCACUACCCUCUCCCACCUUCAAGCCGAUCAGUUUCCGAUGCCAUUUCCCAGUUAAGCCGGGAGCUUUCACAUCGGACUUGACCAGCCGCCUGCGCGCUCUUUACGCCCAGUAAAUCCGGACAACGCUUGCCACCUACGUAUUACCGCGGCGGCUGGCAC